CCAGGCGGGCGACUUAUCGCGUUAGCUGCGCCACCAAACCCUUAAAUGAGCCCGACGGCUAGUCGACAUCGUUUACCGCGUGGACUACCAGGGUAUCUAAUCCUGUUUGCUACCCACGCUUUCGCACCUCAGCGUCAAUGUUGAACCAGGGAGCCGCCUUCGCCACUGGUGUUCCUCCAGAUCUCUACGCAUUUCACCGCUACACCUGGAAUUCCACUCCCCUCUUUCACAUUCUAGCGCCGCAGUAUCCAAUGCAGUUCCCAGGUUAAGCCCAGGGAUUUCACAUCGGACUGACGACGCCGCCUACGCGCGCUUUACGCCCAGUCAUUCCGAUUAACGCUCGCACCCUCCGUAUUACCGCGGCUGCUGGCACGGAGUUAGCCGGUGCUUCUUUUGUGAGUAACGUCAAAACGCGAGGGUAUUCGCCACGCGCUUUUCUUUCCCACUGAAAGUGCUUUACAACCCGCAGGCCUUCUUCACACACGCGGCAUUGCUGGAUCAG
rnacentral:rRNA from 1 species